UACGGGGGGGGCAAGCGUUGUUCGGAAUUACUGGGCGUAAAGGGCUCGUAGGUGGCCAACUAAGUCAGACGUGAAAUCCCUCGGCUUAACCGGGGAACUGCGUCUGAUACUGGAUGGCUUGAGUUUGGGAGAGGGAUGCGGAAUUCCAGGUGUAGCGGCGAAAUGCGUAGAUAUCUGGAGGAACACCGGUGGCGAAGGCGGCAUCCUGGACCAACACUGACACUGAGGAGCGAAAGCCAGGGGAGCAAACGGG
rnacentral:rRNA from 1 species